rnacentral:rRNA from 1 species
CUUUCAUGUGCGAAACNUGAUAAGGGACUCCGAGUGCCAGCAUUAAAUGUUGGCUGUCCUUNUGNNUAAAACUCANNNGAUAGCAAGGGCCGGGUAAGACCGGUGCCAGCCGCCGCGGUAACACCGGCGGCCCGAGUGGUAGUCGCUNUUAUUGGGUCUAAAGGGUCCGUAGCCGGUUUGAUAAGUCCUCUGGGAAAUCUGAUUGCUCAACNAUCAGGCUNCCAAGGGAUACUGUCAAACUUGAGACCGGGAAGAGGUAAGAGGUACUUCAGGGGUAGGAGUGAAAUCUUAUAAUCCUUGGGGGACCNUCUGUGGCGAAGGCGUCUUACCAGAACGGGUCUGACGGUGAGGGACGAAAGCUGGGGGNGCNAACCGGAUUAGAUACCCGGGUAGUCCCAGCCGUAAACGAUGCUCGCUAUGUGUCAGAUACGGUGCGACCGUAUCUGGUGCCGUAGGGAAGCCGUNAAGCGAGCCACCUGGGAAGUACGGCCGCAAGGCUGAAACUUAAAGGAAUUGGCGGGGGAGCACUACAACGGGUGGAGCCUGCGGUUUAAUUGGAUUNCAACGCCGGAAA